rnacentral:rRNA from 1 species
UACGAAGGGGGCGAGCGUUGUUCGGAAUUACUGGGCGUAAAGGGCGCGCAGGCGGCCUUAGAAGUCAGAUGUGAAAGCCCCGGGCUCAACCUGGGAAUGGCAUUUGAUACUCUGAGGCUGGAGUACGGGAGAGGAGAGUGGAAUUCCCAGUGUAGAGGUGAAAUUCGUAGAUAUGCGGAGGAACACCGAUGGCGAAGGCAGGUCACUGGGCCGCAACUGACGCUGAGGAGACGAAAGCAUGGGGGAGCGAACAGG